UGAUAAACAUCUAUUUGAUAGAUGCAAAAAAACAUCUAUCAGGCAUUAUAAUAAUAUAUUCCCAACAAAAGGUACUUGUGGUCCCCUAAGGAAAGGGGUGGAAUGAAAUUGAAAGUAACGGCGUUAAGGAAAGAGAAAGAAGUCCAGAAAAAAAGUCCAGAAACUAGGAGAGAGAAAUUGAAGAGAAAGAAGAUGAGAAACUUGAGAAAAAAGUCCAGAAAUUCCAGAGAAAUUACAAGAUGAGAAAGAUAAGGAAUAAUUCAAGGAGUAAUUGAAAAAUUUAUUGAAGAUGAGAAGAUGAGCAGUAGCGGUAUGGAAUCGGUAAUGAAGGAAGGGUGCGAACAUGCAGUUCCCAUAGCUGCGGAGGUAAGUACAAUUCUGCAAAAAAAAUUCAGUUGUAGAAUAAAUGAUGAAAUGUACGAAUAUCAUUGUAAAAUGUAAUAAAUAUGUUAUCUGAGUUAGUAAAAAUGGUGGCUUGCGAAUAAAUUCAGCUAAUUUUGACAUUUAUUGAAAUGCGGAGGUUAGUAAUAAAUGAAAUGGUGGGAAAAAUUGACAUUUAUUGAAGUAGGGAAAAAAUGGUGGCUUGCGAAUAAAUUCAGGUAAUUUUGUUUGUAUUGUAAUAACUUCAUGCUGCAAUAUUUAUUAACCAAAUAAUUGGCAUAGUAAUAAUUGAAAAUAUAAAAUUGGAAUUGCUGGAAAUAUUGCAAUUGCUAUCAUUUAAGUUUGUAUCUUAUAAUAUUGGAAUUGCAGUACAUGAAUUGUGUUCAAUUGGUUGAUAAUGAUGAACUGGCUGUUAUUGAGACACCUGAUCCUCAUAGUUGUGGAUCAAACACUGUUGUGCAACCACCUGCAGUUGGUAUGGUGUUUGGGACAUGGGAAUAUGCUGAUGAUUAUUUUAGGAGAUAUGGAAAGCAGGAAGGUUUUGGUGUAAUUAGGGCAGCUGGUUCUUUGAAGAAAGUAGGUGUGAAAGGGAAAGAGGUGACCGGUGGAGAAGUGAAGAAGGAGUUUAGGAAUUACACUUGGAAAUGUGAGUGUAAUGGUAAGCCUGACAUGAAACGAACAUUGAAGGGGCGUGUUGCGGUUGGACGUAAAGGUGUAGAAGUGCCAACUAGGAAGUCUAAGAAAUGCAAUUGCCCUGUUAUGAUGUAUGCUGCAUGUAAUGAUGCUGCAUGUAAUGAAGGGGAAUGGGUAGUGAAGAAGGUCGUAUUGGAUCAUGUGAACCAUAAUCCAACACCAAGCAAAUACAGGUUCAUUAGCAUGUUUAGGAAGGAGGAGGUUAGUUGCGCUGUUAGGAGGCGUUUGUUUAAUGAUCACGCUGUUGGUGUUAGAAUAUCACAGAUUCAUAGUAGCUUAGCGCGUGAGCGAAAUGGUCUUGAGAAUAUGGCUAUCACAGAGAGGGAUCUUAGGAAUAUGGUUGCCAAGGAAAGGAAGUUGAAACUUGGACCCGGAGAUGCAAAUGCAAUGCUAAUGUACUUUAACAAGAUGGCAGCUGACAAUCAAAAUUUUUUCCACAUUCAUCGACUUGACGAUAAAGGGUAUUUGAAGGAUGUACUUUGGGUUGAUGCUAGGUCGAGGGUGGCAUACGAAGAAUUUGGUGACGUUGUAUGUUUCGAUGCGACAUAUUUGACAAAUGAUUAUGAAUUACCUUUUGCAAACUUUGUUGGAGUGAACCACCAUGGGCAGAGCAUAUUGCUUGGUUGUGCGCUAGUAUCCCACGAAGAUGCGGAGACUUAUGAGUGGGUGUUUAGCACAUGGUUGCUUUGCAUGGGGGGUAAGGCACCCAUUGGAAUAUUGACAGACCAAGAUGCUGCCAUGAGGAAGGCCCUUCGCAAUGCUAUGCCGGAGUCUGUACACCGGUGGUGCAUUUGGCACAUCAUGAUGAAAUUUGGGAAGAAGCUUGGUUCAUAUGGUAAUUACAAAGAUUUGAAGGAAGCGUUGACGAAAGCCAUAUACGAGAGUGUAAGUCCAGAAGUUUUUGAGAGGAGUUGGGUUUGUGCCAUAGAGAAGUAUGAGCUUGGUGAUGAUGAAUGGCUUCAAGGUUUGUUUCGGGAAAGAGAUAUGUGGGUUCCUGCUUACAUGAGGCAUCUAUUUUGGGCGGGAAUGAAGACAACCCAAAGGUGUGAGAGCAUCAACAGUUUUUUUGAUGGUUAUGUUCACAAAACCACAAAAUUAUGCGAGUUUGCUGAGCAAUAUUGCAACGCGAUGGAAUCUAGAGCAAAUGCGGAGAGGGAAGCUGAUGCAAAUAGUUCAAGGUAUCUCCGUGUUGCUGUGACAACUUUCAAGACGGAGAUUGUGUUUCAAAAGUUGUACACGGAUGCUAAAUUUAGGGAGAUACAAAAUGAAUGUAUGAAGGUGUUAUACCUUGAAUGGACUGGUAAGCAGGAUGUUGGACAGGAUUUGGUUGAACAUACGUAUGAGGAUAGGGUUUGGGUGGUUAGCAAGGACACUAAAAAGGAGGUGCCUCUUGAUAGGAAUUGUGAAUAUGUAGUUCUUAUAGACAUGGAGACGACCGAAGCUAAGUGUGAAUGCAAGUUGUUUGAGUCUGCGGGAAUCUUAUGUAGGCAUAUAAUAUCGUUAUAUAAUAAGUUGAAAAUUAAGGAGAUACCUGAAAAGUACAUACUACGUCGAUGGCGGAAAGAUGUAUUCCGGAAGCAUACAAUGGUGAAGGUAGCUUAUCACGACCCCUCAAAGACGGAUGAAGUGCAGAACUAUGAUAGAAUGAUGCAUGUUUUUGACCCAAUCUGCUUGAAGGCAGCCAACUAUGGUGAUGUUCACACUGUGUUAGAGACGCUCCAAGUACUCAACAUACGCCUAGAUGAACGGCAUUCCAUGAAGAUUGCUGGUAUGAGCCUGAAAGAUUGCACUCCUACUUCUGUUGGUAACUCACAGUGGGUGCAGUUGGCAAAUGGUUCUGUAGGAGUUGGCAGCUGCAAUAGGGUAGAGAAGUCCCCAAAUGAAUGUGAAGGUAGUCGCAUAGAAGUUAAUGUGGCUAAAGACCCCCCUACGAAAAAAACAAAACGGGCAGGUAGAAUGAAGUCAUGCGUUGAGAAGGCCAAGAAUGAGAAGGCGAAUAAUGAGAAGGGAAAGAAUGAUGAAGGGAAGAAUGCGGAAGCUAAGAAGAAACAGCAAGAAGCACCUAAGAAGGGGAAAGGCAAAGGAGUGAAACGCAAGGAGAACGCAGACCCCCCUCCUCAGAUAGUGAACUUACUUAGUGAACUUACCAUCAAAGUGUUCAUAGUCAAAUUGCAAUAAAUUGAAAAUUAGGCAUUGACCAAAGAUCGAUGUUCAAUUCAGGAUUUGGAGAACGUGAAUCCAUCAACACGUUUGGAGCUGCAGUUGUGGCCUACUAGUCAGGCUUACCAAUACAGAGACUUCUUCGACAAAGAAUGCUAGUUGAAACACUCGAAUGGUAGUUGGAAGAAUGGAUUGGUAGUUGAAACACUCGAAUGGAACUUCGAACAUGAACAAUGGAUUUAAAUUCAUUACAGAAUUAGUAUGUUACAUGUUGUUAUUUGCUGCUGCAAUACAUCAUAUUAUUUGCUACAUUAGAUUAGAUCUUCAACCCCUCCGCUAGUAAUUUUAAAGUUUGUAAUAGAAUCUCCGAGAUAGGGACACAUAAUUGUGCGGAUGUGUCGAAUUCUUUCACCAUUGGUAAUGUGAAUCCCAAGGAAAAACCGAUUAUUUAUGCAGUUGGACCAAGACAGGCCAAGAGCUGGUUCAACUUGUAUUCCAGAUGUUAGUAGACGAAUAUUAUUCGUAUUGUGUGUGUUGUCGACGAAAGUAGCCCGAACUUCAUUAGUGCAUACCACAGCUGCAUUGUAGUUAUGUGCAAGUCCUCUCAACUCAGCUGAAAUUUUGAAAAAAAGUUUGGACCUUGAAGUCAUGUCUUCAUGGUUAUUGUUGAAUGCACAUUGGAAAAUAGAUGCAAUUGAGUCAACGAUAAUUAGACGCACGUUGCGAGGUGAUUGUUCGGCUUGCUUGCAUAAUAUAGUAAUAUUUUUAAUUGCCGUCAAAAGAUCAGAUGGAUUAUCAACUCGCAUGACCUUCACAUCAUCAAUGUUAAUGUAACUACUCUCAUUUAUAUAGUUUUCCUUCAUGUAAUUUGCAAUUUUAACAAGUCGGUUUGCUGGGAAAUUGUUGUUCGAAUGUAUGUAAAUGCAUGAUCCGAAUAAACCACCACAUGAUGGUGGGAGUUGGCACAACAGUGAGAGUUGUAAGCAUAUUUGUGUUUUUCCCGAUGCACUUUCCCCACAAAGCUCCGUGAUCAUACCGGUUGGGAAGCCACCUCCUAACA